CAUGCGCAUCAGACGCUCGUCGCUCUGCUCGGAGCUGUAAAUCUCCUUCCGCAGCUUCUCCGCCGCCCGGAUGUAGUCCCCUCUCGCGGAGUACACCCACUGCAGAGUCAGUCCGCGGGCCUGUGGCCUCCUAGAUGAUCGAGGAAGACACGCCUGUUCCCCAGACCACUCGCGCCCCACUUCACACUGCCCUAGGUGGGACCCUCACCUUCUGGGCGAAGCUGGUAAUCCCAGCGCGCACUAGCAGGAGGCUGCCGGCCAGCUCCACGCCCUGGGCUCUCAGCUCCUGCAGAUCCUCUCGCCGCCCGUAGUGGGCGUACACCAGCUUGCCCUGGGGACCGAGGAAUCUUUGAGGCACGGUGCGGGCAUCCCGACUCAGCUACCCACCGAGGGCGACGUGAUAGGCUCGCUCACCGUGGCAUUGCCAGUGGCGCUGUAGGGACAGUAGACUUCCGGAUCCUCCAGCGGCAGCUGCUCCUGGGCGCUCCCGGCUGCAUCCACCCAGUGCAAGGUGUUAGGACAAGGCUAUGCUGAAUUGUCAAGGCCAGCUACAGACUCCCUUGAAACCCAGGUGCCCCUCCCCAAGGAACCGAAGAAACAUGGCCUGGAGGUCACUCAGGUACAACGUGCCCUGGCCGGAGUUGAGGCCCAGCUCGGCGUUGACAUCCUCGCCGACCAUCAACACGGAGUCCCCGCAUGCCUGGCAGGACCCUCGAAAGGUCACAUAGCCCAGGAGGAAGGCUGGCAGGUGGUGCCCCAGAUCAGGACCUUCCACACGUUUAUAGAUGGUCUGAGAGGGUCUUGGGGACCACUGAUGCUGUGUGGAGGGGGCAGGGCUCUCUAAGAAUUUGACGAAUGGCCACAACCGCAGUUUACCCUCCAGUUUCAAAUCCAAGCCGCGCCAGAGACAGCCAGGACCCGCAGCUCUGAAUGGGAAGGUUCGGGGUCCACCUCACCCUCACUCCCGAUCCGGGUCUCCCCUGGGAAACUGCAGGUCCUAGCCAGGUCCAGAGAGCUCUGAGAGGUAGGGGCUCACCAGUAGUACCCCAGCCCCGGCCUCGUGCCUGUCAAAAGCCGAGUCCUGAGUAGGAAGGCACAGCAGCCAGGCUCGCUUUAGCAACAGGUCCCUGGAUUUCUGUGACCACGCUCCCGGGGAGACCCAAAGUCUGCCUUUAGGCCACGCCCACUAGAUCACGCCCCCGCCCCGAGCCCCGCCCCCGCAUGUCCUUUGCAGCGUUGACAACCCUCCAACUCAUCAGUGGAGUCUUGUAACUUCCAGGGUCCUGGCCCCACUGAAAGCUAAGAAUUUCGUGUCCCCUCUCACCAGACCCCCGCUCCCCACUCCCUAUCCCCAAGGAGAUCAAAUUAUCUUUAUUUUCUUAAAACUUUUUUUUUUUUUUUUAAACUUAUUCCAACUCAGAAACAUCACAGUCUAAGAAGAUGUGGGUAAGAGAGGAGAGGGCAAUGGGAGAUGGAGGGUUCAGCGCUUCCGGAGGCCUGGAAAUGCCCCUCUUGCAUCGUCUCCCUGAAACGCUGUGGAGGGGUGGGUGGGUGUUUGCGGAGAGGGUGGGGUCAGCCUCAGGGGCACUUCCGCUCCACGCACUGCUUCCCUCCCUCCUCGUAUUCCUGCUUGGAGAUCCACAUUUGCUGGAACGUGCCCUGGGAAAAAGGGGCAGCAUAAGCUGUCAGGAGAGCCUGGGGGUCACCCGACACGCCUCUACACCGCCACACCCGUUGUUCCUUCUUACCUCCAUGCCUUUCUCACCUGUGUCCCCGCCCCUCACUGGGGGAUUCUAGGCAGGUGCUCUACCACUGAGCCACAC